AAGUCCAACAUAAUUCUUCCUGCACCCCGGCCCACAUCAACCCCUCUUCCGCGUACUCCCAGCCCCCACGAAACCCUAAGCCGCCUCUGCUAUUAAUGGAGAUGCCAUCGCCGGCGACGCUGGCGCCGACGCUGACGAUGAACAAACACGCUGCGACGGCGGCUGUGGCUGCUUUAGCGAUUGCGUUUGCAUUGUUUCCCGCUUCGCGUACAUCGUAGAACCACAUCCUUCACAGAUCUCGUUCUCAUCUGCCGACACGUCGUCGCUCCAUGAACGAACGUCUCUCUGUGAUCCUCCGCCUUCACCACCAUUACUGUUAGGUUCUUUUGGGAUGAAUGGAAUGAAAAGAAAAGCUAAAUUACGUUGUUUUAUUAUAUUUAUUUGCAUAAUUUUAUGUAACUCUGUAUAAAAUCGUGAAAUCAUCAUUCUAUAAUCACUAGAACCUAGACAGCUACUCUAUCAAACUUGAAAUGGUGCUAUUCAAUCAGUCUGAGUGUAGUUAUCUGAUAAGCUGAUUGACUCAAGAUCCAUAUUUUGCUUUCUGCGAAGCAUCACCUGCUUGCGUAUAUGCCCAGAAGUGUGGUUAAGUAGAUGUGUAUAUAAAGUGGAAGAAAGACCCUUACUUUGACUAUUGAGUCCAUCCACAGCUCCAUUGAGCUCAAAGCGCUUCUCUUUCUCAAAAAUUGCACUGCCCAGAUCCCAAUGGGUGCUUACCAAUAUCGGCUGGAAGAGGGGAAUAGAAUGGGAAUACCCAUGAAGGUUGCUGGGUUUCUUAGACAGUAACCAUCUACUAUGGAAGCCGCCUUCGACAGGGAAGAGCAUGCAGUUUAAGAAGAUCAAAAGUCAGAUAUUAGAGGCAAGUUGAAGAAAUUGAUAUUGACGAAUAGGAAUAAGAGGCUCCCCUUGAACAUAAUUCAGGGAAUGCAGUGGCACUUAGGGUUGCCUGAUGAUUUUCUGCUGCAACAAAUCUUGAUGAGUCUUUUAGAUAUGGGAAGAUGGAAGAUGAAAUGAUGGGAUUGGCUGUUUAGUCAGAGGAAAUGGUUUUGUCUGUUAUGCAGAGAAAUCCUAUUAAGAGGAAUUUGCUACGAGGGAUCCCAAGGGACCAUUGAAUUCCCUCUGUUUUCUUUAUGCAACAAAAUGGUCGGUGUAAUUGACGAGUUGCUAGCAUCUUUGUUGAGCAUUCAGCCGAGAGGAAGAAGCUUCUCUGCCUAUGGAAAUAUCUCGGUUUGCCCCAAGGAUUUCACAAGGCAUUCAAGUGACAUCCCCAUGUGUUCUUCUGUCUUUGAGGAACAAAACCUUCAUAGCAACUCUCAAAUAGGCUUAUGAUGAUAACUUCACCGUAGAUGCCAUCCUCUCUUUAAGUUGAGGAGAAAGUAUAUUGAGUUGAUGAAUAAUCAAAGGUUAUUUUGAAGAAUAGAAGGCUAAAGAACCAGACUGUUGUGCUUGGAAAUGUGGAUUUAGAUUUGGACUUUGACUAUAUAGUCACAGACACGAGCCAAAAUGCAGAUCAUUCUUCGUAAAUGUUUUUGCAGAAUAUAUUUAGAAAUAUGCAUGCUUUUGUGGUUAAGAAGAAGGGGGUAGAAUAUGUAAGAACUUUUCUUUUUGGAUGAAUUAAAUUAAAAAAGAGCUAAAUUUAUGAUCAUUUGUCAGAAGAUUUUUUUAUUUUUUUCUGAAGAGAAACAAGCAAGAUAACUGCAACUAGAGUUCAUGGACUACACUCUCCAGUUGACAGGGAUAAUGCUGCUGGUGCUCUGGGGUAUGUUAUUGGUCCUGCAUGCAUUGCUUCAAUCUUUUGAUGAAUGAAAUCAGGGUCUACUCUAACAUAACUUCCAGAGGAAAUUCAUUCUGAUUAGUUGCUGCACCUUGAAGGUGUCUUGAUACGUGAUGUCCUAGAAAUGAAGAAGGCAUUGUGUCGAGGUUUUGAGGGACAUGCUGCAAUUGUCUAGUCAAAUAUGCUUUUGCAACUGGAGCAAGGAAGUCCUGAAAUUGCUUGCAGGGAGAAGUUGAAGAAGCAGGUGGGGGAAGUUCCUUAUGAUUCAGCAAUCAGGGUCAUUCCAGUAUUUGCAACAAGUAGAUUACAGUUUGUGUGAAUAUGCAUGAAAGUUGCGCAAGCCAUCCAUGUUAGUGGAAUGGUAGAAAGCAAAGAAAGUUAAUAGUUUCUUGUGAAAGUGGUUCCUGAAUAAUGUUCCUUUAUGUUUAGUGUGUCAAUUGAGCACACUAGAUUUCUGUUGAGGCACAAUAAAAUCUACAGGCUGCAGCUGUAAGGUCGCCAAGCUUUGUGGACCAGAGACAAAAGCUUCAUGCAAUGCUCCAACUGUAGGAAGGCUAGGGGAUGGCAACAACAAUUGCUUCAUGUUGUGAACCUAGCCUUCUUGAUGCCCUAGCCUCGAGGCAGAUAAGGCUUAACAGUUCUGCUGCUUGCAGCAAUGAUGGAAAUGUGUACCAAGAGAAUCUAUAGGUGAAUUUACAUGUAUGAAACGCUGCUUACUGUGAUGCAGGUUUAAAUUGUUUGCUGCUUAUCCGCCAGGGGCAACGACUGUAUUUGGAUAUUUUGAAUUCUCUAGGAUUAAAUGUGAUUAAAGUAAGAUGAUUUUUUAUUGCUUUGUGUUUUGUAUAUAAUGAAGUAGUGACAAUAUUUUUGCAUUGUUUUAGUUAUGCAAAUGUGGAGAUUCUUUAA